AACUUCUCCCGUGUCACUUAUCAAGUGUUUGAUGUCCAUAAAGGAGUAUGCUUUUGCUACUUCUCCUUACCCAGUUAUUAUAACAUUAGAAGACCACCUUACACCAGAAUUGCAGGCUAAAGUUGCUGAGGACUUCAGGAGAAACCAUGGACCUGCUGUUGAUAAGCUGAGAGAACUAAUCCUCACUGAAAUUAUACCUCUGCAUUAGCAAGGCGAUAUGAGUUCAAUUUCUCAAGACAGGAUAUAUCUUCUCUCUGGUUUCUGUGUAAGCAGGUAGUCAUCUUCUUUUCAUGCAAAUUUUAUGGUUCAUAUCCUGUUAGAAAUCAGAAAUUGCUUUCACAGUUCAAUUUUUUACUUAUAUUUUUGGUUUCUUCGGAUUUCAAAUAUGGAAGGAAACAUCCUUGUUGGAUAUAACCGAUCAAGCUUGCGGUAUUAUUUUCAUACUUCAUUACUCUUUAUGAAGAUUUCAAGGUACUAUAACCCUCCAUCGUCUAUGUUUAUUUACUCUAACUCGUAAAAUUUUCAUGACAUUCUCAGAAGAGAAUUGUGCGGCCUCACUCAAAGCAUGAUUACAAUACCCUUUGCAAUGUGAAUCUUGAUCAGCCUAAGCAGAAGCCUGAAACCACCACGGGCACCACUACAUUCUAGCAGAGUUUCAUCCUGGAUUGACUCCAUUGCUAACACAAAAUGACAUUUUGCUACAACAAGAAUUCUUGGGCCCCAUUUCUGACUAUUGGGACCCGAGUAUCAGUUCUUCAUCUAGAGCUAGGGGGUGCCCUGGCUAUCUUGGAAUGGGAGGGAGCUUACAGGAAGCUAACGGGACCAUCAAGUUGAUCUUCUCCAUGAAAGCUGGUUGGGGGAAGCGAAUCUCGCGGAAGUUCUGGCAAUACGAGAAGUUAUGGCCCUCUUUGCAGCAUCAUCCUGGACCAAAUCCGGAGCUAUCAACAUCGAGUCUGAUUCCAAGAAUGCAGUAUCUUGGAUUUCUAAGCCCAUUAAUGCCCCAUGGAGACUAAGGCAACUUCUUCAUCAGAUCAUGGCACUCAAAGGUAAAAUCCUUGACAGGCAAAUCCAUUAUAUCCCUCGGUCCGGUAACGAAGUGGCAGACAACCUCGCCAAAGCAGCGAUUGAGAUGCCUAAUGAUCUUACUUGAAUCCACCCUUAGCUCUUUCAGUGUUUUUGUCGUGUUUUCUGUUCUUUGGUUACUGCUUUGAUAUGUUUGCCGGACACUGACUCAGGGCGGUUCUUGUUGAUUGAGUUUGCUUUACCAUCUCAAGUUUGUCCCUCCCUCUGCUUGGACAAUGAUUUUUAUGGUUGGAUGCCACGUUCGUUGUGUUGAAAGUUUGGUGCCAGUAAGAAAUAGAAACAAACCCCAGCUGGAGUUCCCAGUUCUUACUGUAACCUUCCUGUGAUCUCCCUGCGGCCCUUUUGUAUACUGGCUAUGUAUAGAUGAGUCUACACUUUUUGUUUGAGUUUCCGGGCACUUUUUGUAAGCCAAUGAACUCUGGAAGUCUGUCUAUUUCUCAAAGUCAGAUCCUUCUUUUGUAAUGAUUGGGAUUUCCCAGCUUGAAUGA